UACGGAGGAUGCGAGCGUUAUCCGGAUUCAUUGGGUUUAAAGGGUGCGCAGGCGGAAUAAUAAGUCAGUGGUGAAAUCUCCCGGCUCAACCGGGAAACUGCCAUUGAUACUGUUGUUCUUGAGUACAGUUGAAGUGGGCGGAAUGUGUCAUGUAGCGGUGAAAUGCUUAGAUAUGACACAGAACACCGAUAGCGAAGGCAGCUCACUAAGCUGUAACUGACGCUCAUGCACGAAAGCGUGGGGAUCAAACAGG
rnacentral:rRNA from 1 species